rnacentral:rRNA from 1 species
CCUACGGGAGGCAGCAGUGGGGAAUAUUGGGCAAUGGGCGCAAGCCUGACCCAGCAACGCCGCGUGAAGGAAGAAGGCUUUCGGGUUGUAAACUUCUUUUAAGAGGGAAGAGCAGAAGACGGUACCUCUUGAAUAAGCCACGGCUAACUACGUGCCCGCAGCCGCGGUAAUACGUAGGUGGAAAGCGUUGUCCGUAUUUACUGGGUGGAAAGGGCGUGCAGGCGGGAAGACAAGUCAGAUGUGAAAUUCCGCGGCUCAACCGCGGAACCGCAUUGGAAAAUGUUAUUCUCGAGUACCGGAGAGGUCAUCGGAAUUCCUAGUGUAGCGGUGAAAUGCGUAGAUAUAAGGAAGAACACCAGUGGCGAAGGCGGAUGACUGGACGGCAACUGACGGUGAGGCGCGAAAGCGUGGGGAGCAAACAGGAUUAGAUAUCCUAGUAGUC